rnacentral:rRNA from 1 species
AGCGAACGCUGGCGGAAGGCUUAACACAUGCAAGUCGAACGCUCCUAGCAAUAGGGGAGUGGCAGACGGGUGGGUAACGCGUGGGAACAUACCCUUUGGUUCGGAAUAACUCGGCGAAAGCCGUGCUAAUACCGGAUAAGCCCUUUACGGGGGAAAGAUUUAUCGCCGAAGGAUUGGCCCGCGUCCGAUUAGCUAGUUGGUGAGGUAAUGGCUCACCAAGGCGACGAUCGGUAGCUGGUCUGAGAGGAUGAUCAGCCACACUGGGACUGAGACACGGCCCAGACUCCUACGGGAGGCAGCAGUGGGGAAUAUUGGACAAUGGGCGCAAGCCUGAUCCAGCCAUGCCGCGUGAGUGAUGAAGGCCUUAGGGUUGUAAAGCUCUUUCGACGGGGACGAUAAUGACGGUACCCGUAGAAGAAGCCCCGGCUAACUUCGUGCCAGCAGCCGCCGUAA